rnacentral:rRNA from 1 species
GAUGAACGCUGGCGGCGUGCCUAAUACAUGCAAGUCGAACGAACAGGCCCGGCGCUUGCUGGUCUGACGUUAGGGGCGGACGUGUGAAUAACACGUGUAUCACCUCCCUGUAAGUCGGGGAUAACUUCGGAACACCGGAGCAAAUCCGGUAUGAGCUAUUGAACCGCGUGGUUGGUUAGUAAAAUUCGGUGUUGUGGGCGGUUGUCGCUGGAUUCGCGCCUGUUUGUGUGGUUGGUGAGGUAGUGGCUUACCACGGGAAGGCCGGGUGGCCGGCCUGAGAGGGGGACCGGCCACAAUGGGACUGAGAUACGGCCCAGACUCCUACGGGAGGCAGCAGUCGGGAAUAUUGCGCAAUGGGCGGAAGCCUGAUGCAGCAACGCCGCGUGCGGGAUGACGGCCUUCGGGUUGUAAACCGAUUUCGCCUGUGACGAGGCGUGAGUGACGGUAAUGGGUAAAGAAGCACCGGCUAACUACGUG